rnacentral:rRNA from 1 species
UGGGGAAUUUUGGACAAUGGGGGCAACCCUGAUCCAGCAAUGCCGCGUGCAGGAAGAAGGCCUUCGGGUUGUAAACUGCUUUUGUCAGGGAAGAAAUCCUGUGGGUUAAUACCUCGUGGGGAUGACGGUACCUGAAGAAUAAGCACCGGCUAACUACGUGCCAGCAGCCGCGGUAAUACGGAGGGUGCAAGCGUUGUUCGGAAUUAUUGGGCGUAAAGCGCGUGUAGGCGGUCAAUUAAGUCUGAUGUGAAAGCCCCGGGCUCAACCCGGGAAGUGCAUUGGAAACUGGCUGACUUGAGUACGGGAGAGGGUAGUGGAAUUCCGAGUGUAGGGGUGAAAUCCGUAGAUAUUCGGAGGAACACCGGUGGCGAAGGCGGCUACCUGGACCGAUACUGACGCUGAGACGCGAAAGCGUGGGGAGCAAACAGG